rnacentral:rRNA from 1 species
UACGAAGGGUGCAAACGUUGCUCGGAAUUAUUGGGCGUAAAGAGCUCGUAGGCGGCUUGUCACGUCGGGUGUGAAAGCCCGGGGCUUAACCCCGGGUCUGCAUUCGAUACGGGCAGGCUAGAGUGUGGUAGGGGAGAUCGGAAUUCCUGGUGUAGCGGUGAAAUGCGCAGAUAUCAGGAGGAACACCGGUGGCGAAGGCGGAUCUCUGGGCCAUUACUGACGCUGAGGAGCGAAAGCGUGGGGAGCGAACAGG